rnacentral:lncRNA from 1 species
CCAAAAAAAAAAACAUUUAUAACAUAAACAUUCUUUGAAACUGUUGAUUUUGAUUUUUGUUUCAGGAAUAAAAAUUACAAUAAAUCUAUCACAAUUUCAAUAUCCUUUGUGAAGGGCACAAUGGUUAACAAUCCUCGAAUGUUUACAUUGGAAUAUUGGUGAAUAUUUGCAGAUUUUACAAGUCAAUUGUAACACUAGAUAUCACAAUAAUAUGACUUUUUGAGAAUAUUCGAUGUAUAUAUAUAGAGAGAACAAAUAAAAAUAGUUGUGAUAGCAGGAACAAAAAUUGAGGUGGGAUGUGUUAGAAUCUCGUGGCAGUAGCCAAAACUGUAGUGCUGGUAGCAACACCCUAUUUAUAUAAUUUUUGAUGAAACCCACAAAAACAGUUUAAUAUAACAUUGAGCAGUUGUUCAUUAAAAAAUAGAAACUCAACUGACAAACUUGGAAAUGAAAUCCCAUUUAUUUUAAAAAUAUUACAGUCAAUAGCAUAUAUAUAUAUAUAUAUAUAUAUAGAAUGAACUAGUAGAGUGGCUGUACUUACAUGACAGUGUUUUGUGUUCUAAUUAUAGAUGGAUGGCAUCGACAAGGGCGCAUGUUCAUCUUGCCAUCACUGUAUCAAGGAUGACCAUAAAAUCGACAAAGAAUGUAGUAAAACCAUUUUUGGAGGUGAACAGUUGAGGAGUAAAAUAGCCUUGUGUGGUAAAUAAAAAAAAAUAGGUGACAUUAAGUAAAGACACAAUUUAGACACGAGUAGGAUCUUACAUCCUACAUGAAAGAAGUUGUUUUGACAUUUUAUAAAUUAUUAUUUUUUGAACAUUGGAUUUAAUUUAUUAAUCAAGCAAAGAAAAAUACAGAUGUGAGUAGCGGAAUGUGAUUUACCUCCAAACUUCAGUCAGAUUGUGAAUGACCACAAGAUUGAAAUGGUUCCAGGAAUCAAAUCAUCUUCACAAGUGCCAUGUUGAUAAAGUAAAAUGGAUACUGUUGGGCAGAUACAAGUUUUAAGAUGUCAGAGUGUGCAAAAACCCUGAUUCCACCAGUUUGUUGUAAAAAUAUCAUCAUAUUUGCAUUGUGUGAAACAACAUCAAAAAAUUGCAUGAUUCAUUCAAUAUGAAUUUCACAAGUUUUUAGUGAUGACUCUUGAAUGAUGCAAACCCUUGUUAACAGUAAAUAAAAUAAAAAUAAAAAUAAAACACAGCAGCAUAUCCACAUAUGUACACAAUUUUAAAGAUUGGUAUACUUCUUAUUUGAGAGCAGACCCCCAUAGCCCACAUCAGUUAAGGUGAGGCAAUGUUGACAUUGAAGUGGUUGUGUGGACAACAACAACUAAGUGCAUUAAAGAGUAUAGAAUUAUCAUUGCCAACUUGCAUUUGACACCAAAAAGGUGUAGAAAACUCGUGCUAUACACAAACCCUAAACCUCUUCAACCCUUACAUUCUGAGUAUGACCCAAGUCAAGCUUUUGGAAUGAUAGCCUGGUACCAAAGGCAGGAUUACCACCAGCGCAGCCAAUCUUGAUAAACUCUUGUAUACCUUAAUUGAACAUCCAGUCAAAUACUACAAGUGGGUACUGAGCCUGGAAACAAGCACUCCAAUCGGAAAACCCUGCUUCGUGAAGUCCCAGCAAGAAGACCACCACCUCAUCUGAUAAGAUUCUGGAAGCUUCCAGAAACUCUUCAGUGUUGGUAUUGGCCCCAAGUGAGGCCAUGAAAAUCAAAAGAACACGAACUAGAAGUGAAGUAAAAGUUCCCCGCACGCAAGAUAUUUCUCUGCUAUAAUAAAUUGAUCCAUCCCUUAGUACACGUGGAGGACAAGGUCCUAAGGGGG